UACAGGGGGUGCAAGCGUUGCUCGGAAUCAUUGGGCGUAAAGCGCACGUAGGCGGUUUGUUAUGUCGGAUGUGAAAGCCCUUGGCUUAACCGAGGAAGUGCAUCCGAAACUGGCGAGCUAGAGUACUAAAGAGGAUCGCGGAAUUCCCGGUGUAGAGGUGAAAUUCGUAGAUAUCGGGAGGAACACCGGUGGCGAAGGCGGCGAUCUGGGUAGAUACUGACGCUGAGGUGCGAAAGCGUGGGGAGCAAACAGG
rnacentral:rRNA from 1 species